GCGCGGGUGGCGGAAUUGGCAGACGCACUGGAUUUAGGUUCCAGCGCCGCAAGGCAUAUGGGUUCAAGUCCCAUCCCGCGUACCA
rnacentral:tRNA from 1 species